CUUGUACUGUUUUUUAGAUUAAAAUCAGUGAAACAUUCACUUCAAAAGGUAUUUCAGAUUUUACUGAACCACUAUAUUUGCAGAAUAAUGAAAAACAUCUAUCAAAUCGUCCAUCUUUAGAUUCUAGAGUUUAGAAGAUAAGAGAACAAUGAUGAGGAAAAUGAUUGUAUAGGCAUGGCAGUGGUGUGGGGUGGUGCUAAUAAUUAUUUCACUUGCAGUGGGCAGGCAUCCAAGGAUAUUCCAGGCAAGUCUUAUUUUCUGACGUGCAUUCUAAUCUUAUGAAGGCACCGUAGCUAAUUUUUUUGAGAUAUAUAUGAGAUUGGACUCUGGCAUUGAAUUUUUCUGAAUAUGUGGCGGCAUAAUGACAUAUUAUCUGGGAUUUUAGGCUCCCCUUUGAUGUGCAAGUGAUCAAAUUUACCAUUUCCACUAGAUGGCAUUAGAAACUUCUGAAGCCAUGAACUAAUUAACUAGUCACCUUUGUUAUGCUGUAAUCACACCUGCAUGUUUUAAGAGGUGGUUGGCAUUCGACUUUCUGGUGUGUUUUCACUCUGAUGCCAGGUACACAGUUAAGAUAUUGGUAUCAGGUCUCUCCCUCAACAUAAAUAGCUUGCUGGGAUUAUCAGAAUGUCAUUCCACAUCUCGUAUUCCAAGGAAGUUUCAAAAGCAAUGUAUACCCUCACCUCGCCGUAAAUCAAAACCAAGGAACACUACCUCCUCCUGUCCUAGCGUGGUAAUCAGUUUAGAGCAAACAUAUAAGGUGAAAAGAGUAAACCAAAAUAUUCCUUUCCUAGCAUUCAGGAGAAUUUUUGUUUGUCUGUUUCUUUCUUUCGAACAGGAUGCCGGAUUUCAAACACGAGGGGGCCAAAAGAAAAUCUGAAGAUUUGUCAGCUGCUUCUAGUGGUUGCUCCAGAGGAACUAGGCACGUUGGGAACACGAUAGAAAACGGCUGCCAAUUCAAAAGCAGGGAAAGAGCAAACCUGCAUAUACAAGGGAGCUGCGAGCUGGACUGGCUCCCAGCAGAAGUGAGACUGGGAAUCAUGGAUUCAGUUGCCUCUUCUCUCCUCUGUCAUGUGGCCAAAGUCGGCACCUAG
rnacentral:lncRNA from 12 species